CCAAAUGACAUGGCAAUUUUCGUACCAUGUUUUUUCUUGAAAAAAACCCCAACACUCUCUUACCUCUCUAGUAUUCCCUGAACUUCCUCUCUCUGGGCACAAAGAAGCAAGACAAAAAUCAAAAGCAGAGGGGGCAACGAAGAUGAAGGGGUCUUUUUUUGAGAGGGGGUGGAUAGGGUGGCUAGAUCCGGGGACGUGGAAACAGGAAGGUAGGGACUGCUUUUUGAUGGGGGAGUUAAGGGGGUGUAGGGGAGUCGAUGAAAAAGAAGGAGUUGUUUCUGAGACGAGGGUUGACAGAUUCGGGAACGAUGAAAAGGGAGGACGUACAAGCUGUUGAGAGCAUACAAGAAAAAGGGCCAGUGAUAGUAUGAGGUAAGAUGAAGAAGGAAAAUGUGUCAAGGUCAGACGAGGCUAUCAAUAGUCAAGUGGAUAGUAUCCCAAUUGAGAAUCACUUGAUCAAAUACUCAUAGAUUUCUCCAUAGAGAUGAUGUCAAUGAGGAUUGCAUGGACAUUUGUAGCUGUAGCAGGUUCUGGUUAUUUCCAAGAAUUUAUAGGAUGAAUUAGUCUUCAUGGCGGCUGCCUGUGGUUGCCAAGGAAUUUUGUUGCUUCUUAGACUCUGAACUUUAUAGAUUUUUUUUUGCAAUGUUUUUUUUUUUGUUAGAAACCAAGCUUUAUUAAGUCUGUCUAGCAUCAAUUCUAGUUCUUGGUUUGUUACAACUUUUUAUGCUUGCACGUGCCUAUCCAUAGUAUGUAAAACUGCCAUUCCAUAGAAAUAGACGAAUCUUAAAUUAUUUUCAA